GCUGUGUCAAAGUGGCCCCUCCCCUGUCCUCCUGGAAGUUCCGUCCCUUCCCUAACAGCUCUGUUACCCAACACCCAGUCGGGAGAGCGGCCAGUUUGUGCUGUGGGUGAUCUCAUUAGAAUGGAGGAGGUGAGUCAACAGAGACAAAGGCCUUCUAGCCUGCAAUCUGAGAAGAGGGUUAAGAAGAACAAAGCCAAGGGGAGAAAUGUAACCAAGAACUAUCUCUUUAUUGCUUUUGAGUUGUUUAAGGGGGUUUUAAGGGAUUAAGGCUAAAGAAACGUUGGCUGUAAGCAGAGGAGCGGUAUCAGCGGAACAGAGCUUUGUGCUGACUCAGAGGAGAAGCAGCAAAAGGAAAUGUCAGCAGAGGUGGCGGCAGGGGCCGGGCUGGGAGCUAACGCUGUCCCUCCCAUCCUUGCAGCCAGCCUGCCAGGUAGAACGUGCCUGAGCUGGAGCUCCAUCACAGCAGGCCGGCGGCCUACCCUGGCAGACACCCACCUGCCUGCUGCCUGCUUCCCACCAGCCACGUUCGCUUCCUCUUGA
rnacentral:lncRNA from 1 species